AAAAAAGUAAGAUGUCAAAAAUUGAGAUGACCACUACUGUAGACAACAUGGAAUGGAAUGGAAGUAUAAUACUGUUUUUAGUCAUGGCUUUAAAUUCCAAGUAUUUGAAACACAUUCUUCACAGGUGUUGAGAUGUACACUCUAUCCCUCAAGACCAAUGUGAUCAUUCUCUGGACAGCCAAAAGCAUAUUGGUUAGUACUCCAUCUAAUGGCAGCAUCAGAGUAAACAACACAGAAACUACUAAACCAACCUGUUAUUCAUGAUUAUACAUGGCAAGGAAAUAACUACACAUGAACUCCGUGAAAAGCUCUGGGCUUUUCUUCAUGUAAUGAGCGUUUCCUGGAUUCUUGAAUUAUAGCACUGCACACUGAGCAUUUCCACAGAUCUCCACUGUGUAAAAUGGGAGUUCUGUGCUUCUGUCAUGUAUCUGAAAGGACGGCUUCUGUGGUUUUCCUGUGAAAUUGUAAAACCACACUUAAGAUGUCUCUGAAAUAUAGAUGAUUUGCUACUCUUCAGUGACUAACAAUUUAAUUCGAUGAUAGAAUUUUGAGGGUUUCUGAAGACCUUACCAUGGAUCAGAGCCCAAGACUGCUUCAACUUUCACUUUAUGAAGCACAGUGUCACAGCAUCCAUUCUUGCAAUUGCAAGAGCCAGAAAAUGGCCUUUGUGAUAAUGCCACUGAGAUUUAGAACGUUAAAGCAAUCUCAUUAUCAGUUUACAUCCCCAGUUGGAAAUCAGAGAUUGUUCAGCGCAUCAAACAGUUGAGUUGGGGCAUGUAAUGUGCAGCCCAAGGGCCAAGCGAGACCUGCUGAGUCAUAUAAUGUGGGCUCCAGCUGCCCUCCUCCUGUUGCUGAAGGAUGAGGAUAUAGUAGCAGAACUGAUUGAUGCUGCUAAUGAACUUCAAUGACAAUGAAUUAUUUG
rnacentral:lncRNA from 1 species